ACUGGAGGCCAUCAGUAAGAAGGGUCAUAGCUUUGGGCUGGGCAACUUCUAUGCAGAGGACACUGUGCAGGGAGGGACUCAGUUGUGAACAGUCAGAGACUAACACUCCCAAUGGCUAACAGAAGGAGUAUCUCAUUCCUGAAGUUUUAGGUUACGGAUAAGGAUGAUUCCCCUGGAUUCUGGAAGAAGGGAAAACAUGGAAGAACUCACUCAAGGAAAAGAUCAUUGUAAGCAGUUAUGAACAGCUGGAGUAGCCAUUAGGGAAUAUUAGAGAAAUAUUAACUGAUUCACAUAUACUACAUGGAAGCAAAAUAUUGAUAUCUCUGGAGUCGGACAAGCCUGUUUAUGAAUCCUGAGUCAGCCGCCCAGAUGUACACAUGACCUCAACUGGGCUUCCUCUCUCACCGGUAGAGAACAAUUCCACUUAAACUUGAUGUUCUCGUGUCAUGAAUACAGCAGGACUAAUAUGAUCUACUCCAAAGCCAUUCUCUACAUUUCCUGGUAAAUUUGUCAAACCAAAUAACCAUGGAGGAGGACUGGUCACUUCUAAACCCAGACUCUCAGGACCUGUCCAUUUUUCCGAGUGGAAUGACUAGUUAAUAUGCAUUCAUAUUAAUCUUUGUGAAGAUUUUAAGCAUCAUCAUCAGAACAACAUUGCAAAACUCAUGAACAUCUGGAUAUCCCCUGGAUUCCUAAUUGCUGAAUAACAUUGGAGAAAGACACUCCCUUCCCCUUAUCAGAAAAUGAGGGGACUGAACUGGACUCCUAAAUUCUCUCCGGUCUCUCACAUCAUAGAAACAGAAUUGUUGUUGAAUAUUUUAGAAAAUUCAAGAUCUAAAACAACAUGAAUUUUGAACUCCAUGCACUCAUAGGCUGGAGCUCUGUGAGAAUAUGUAUAAAUAAAUGGCUACUCUCAGAAGAGUUACAGAUUGUUGGGCAUUCAGGGGCUUGGGAUGUAUUUGAUCUAUCCCUGACAUUUUUUGGAUGAAGAAACAAAGGUCUGAAGAAUAAAGGAGACUCAUCUAACCAGCAUUACGAAGAUAAAAGCAGAGCUGCUAUGAAAAUCAAAGAAGCACCCUAAUAAAAAUGAUGAUGUUAAAG